rnacentral:ncRNA from 1 species
CAAAAGCUUGGUCCUGACUUUACUAUCAGCUUUGGCCAAAUUUACACAUGCAAGUAUCCGCAACCCUGUGAGAAUGCCCUACAGUUCCCCUUACGCUGGGAACAAGGAGCUGGUAUCAGGCACAACCCCCUACGUUAGCCCAUGACACCUUGCUUAGCCACACCCCCAAGGGAACUCAGCAGUGAUAAACAUUAAGCUAUGAGUGAAAACUUGACUUAGUUAAGGCCAAGCAGAGCCAGCAAAACUCGUGCCAGCCGCCGCGGUUAUACGAGAGGCUCAAGUUGAUAAAUCUCCGGCGUAAAGAGUGGUUAAGAAAGCUAACAAACUAAAGCCGAACAUCUUCAAGGCUGUCAUACGCACCCGAAGACAUGAAGAACCCCUACGAAAGUAGCUUUAAAACUUCUGAACUCCACGAAAGCCAGGGCACAAACUGGGAUUAGAUACCCCACUAUGCCUGGCCCUAAACACAAGCAGCUACCUUCACACCUGCUGCUCGCCCGGGAACUACGAGCAAAAGCUUAAAACCCAAAGGACUUGGCGGUGCUUUAGAUCCACCUAGAGGAGCCUGUUCUAGAACCGAUAACCCCCGUUCAACCUCACCCUUCCUUGUACUUCCCCGCCUAUAUACCGCCGUCGUCAGCUUACCCUGUGAAGGACACAUAGUAAGCAAAAUUGGCAUAGCCCAAAACGUCAGGUCGAGGUGUAGCGCAUGGAGGGGGAAGAAAUGGGCUACAUUCACUGACACAGUACAUACGAAUGAUGCAUUGAAACCAAACAUCUGAAGGAGGAUUUAGCAGUAAGAAGGAAAACAGAGCGUUCCCCUGAAACUGGCCCUGAAGCGCGCACACACCGCCCGUCACUCUCCCCAAACUUUAAUAACAACCCAUAAAUAAGAACACUAAGAUCAAAACAAAGGGGAGGCAAGUCGUAACAUGGUAAGUGUACCGGAAGGUGCACUUGGAAAAA